rnacentral:rRNA from 1 species
UACAGAGGGUGCGAGCGUUGUUCGGAAUUAUUGGGCGUAAAGGGCGCGUAGGCGGUGCGGUAAGUCACCUGUGAAAUCUCCUGGCUCAACUGGGAGCUUGCAGGCGAAACUGCCGUGCUGGAGUGUGGGAGAGGUGCGUGGAAUUCCUGGUGUAGCGGUGAAAUGCGCAGAUAUCGGGAGGAACACCUGUGGCGAAAGCGGCUCACUGGACCACAACUGACGCUGAGGCGCGAAAGCUAGGGGAGCAAACAGG